CCCUAUCUGCCGUGGGCGUUGGAGAUUUGAGGGGAGCUGUCCUUAGUACGAGAGGACCGGGAUGGACGCACCACUGGUGUUCGGGUUGUCAUGCCAAUGGCACUGCCCGGUAGCUAUGUGCGGACGGGAUAACCGCUGAAAGCAUCUAAGCGGGAAGCCCCCCCCAAGAUAAGAUCUCCCGAGGCCGUGAGCCUCCUUAAGGUCCGUUCGAGACCAGGACGUUGAUAGGCGGGAUGUGGACGCGCAGUAAUGUGUGAAGCUAACCCGUACUAAUUGACCGUGCGGCUUGACCAU
rnacentral:rRNA from 1 species